CACGGUAAACGAUGGAUGCCCGCUGUUGGCGACACACUGUCAGCGGCCAAGCGAAAGCAUUAAGCAUCCCACCUGGGGAGUACGCCGGCAACGGUGAAACUCAAAGGAAUUGACGGGGGCCCGCACAAGCGGAGGAACAUGUGGUUUAAUUCGAUGAUACGCGAGGAACCUUACCCGGGCUUGAACUGCAGGAGAAGGAUACAGAGAUGUUGACGCCCUUCGGGGCUCCUGUGGAGGUGCUGCAUGGUUGUCGUCAGCUCGUGCCGUGAGGUGUCGGCUUAAGUGCCAUAACGAGCGCAACCCCUCUCCGUAGUUGCCAUCGGGUGAUGCCGGGCACUCUGCGGACACUGCCACCGCAAGGUGCGAGGAAGGUGGGGAUGACGUCAAAUCAGCACGGCCCUUACGUCCGGGGCUACACACGUGUUACAAUGGGGGGCACAGCGAGCUGGGCGUACGCAAGUGCGUCCGAAUCAAGAAAUCCCCCCUCAGUUCGGACUGGGGUCUGCAACCCGACC
rnacentral:rRNA from 1 species